rnacentral:lncRNA from 7 species
GGAGCUCAGCCGGCGGCCGCGGGCAGCAGGAAUUGCUCAGAACAUCAGUGGUUGGGAGGAAUGGAGGAGAGCACUGGACGCUCAUUCUGCAGGUGCUGCUAAGCUCGGGACUCCGGGGUUGCUCCGGGCACUGGGGCUGGAGAUGAGCUUCAAGCUCCAAAAAGUCGUUGGUUGGCUUUGGAGGUUCCCUUGCUGAAGGACAGCCCGGCCGUGAAUCACCGCAGCCCUCGAGUUAGCUGAGAUGGGACCGAAUCUUUAAUUUUCAGGAUUACAUUCCUUAGCAUUCCCUCAUCUGUAAACAGGAAAAUCUUUAGCAUAUGUGGCGGGUGCUCCUUUUGUUCCUCUGCGCCGUGAAGAUUCCAGCUGGGUUUCUCCUUCUCCAUCAUGAGAUGGCCACGCUCAGUCCAGCUCAGCUCCCGGGCAGCAUAGGACCACGUUGGCUGUGGGAUGCCACAUCCCAGCACGGAGCACAUGGCAUCAGGAUGCUGCCUGGUGUGCCAGCCCCAUCUGCACCUCGCUGACCCACCGGUGGGGCCGAAGGGACGGGAAUGCUCUGCCACAUGGGAGUUUCCCAUUUGGAAAAGUCUCAGGAAGCAUGGAGGAAAUCACAUGGCUUGGGAGCGCUUACCUCACUGCUCUGUCUCAUCCAACGCAGCAGCUUUCAUCAAAGCAUGCAGGACCUGAACAAUGCAGUGCCAGCUGGCUUAUAAAUAAACGUGCUUCCGUUU